GCCUGGCUAGCUCAGUCAAGUAGAACAUGUGACUCUUGAUCUCAGCGUCAUGAGUUCAAGCCCCAUGUUGGGCA
rnacentral:tRNA from 1 species